rnacentral:rRNA from 1 species
UAGGGAAUCUUCGGCAAUGGACGAAAGUCUGACCGAGCAACGCCGCGUGAGUGAAGAAGGUUUUCGGAUCGUAAAACUCUGUUGUUAGAGAAGAACAAGGACGUUAGUAACUGAAUGUCCCCUGACGGUAUCUAACCAGAAAGCCACGGCUAACUACGUGCCAGCAGCCGCGGUAAUACGUAGGUGGCAAGCGUUGUUUGGAUUUAUUGGGCGUAAAGCGAGCGCAGGCGGUUUCUUAAGUCUGAUGUGAAAGCCCCCGGCUCAACCGGGGAGAGUCAUUGGAGACUGGGGGACUUGAGUGCAGAAGAGGAGAGUGGAAUUCCAUGUGUAGCGGUGAAAUGCGUAGAUAUAUGAAGGAACACCAGUGGCGAGGGCGGCUCUCUGGUCUGUAACUGACGCUGAGGCUCGAAAGCGUGGGGAGCAAACAGG